ACACAUGCAAGUCGAACGGUAACAGGAAGCAGCUUGCUGCUUCGCUGACGAGUGGCGGACGGGUGAGUAAUGUCUGGGAAACUGCCUGAUGGAGGGGGAUAACUACUGGAAACGGUGGCUAAUACCGCAUAACGUCGCAAGACCAAAGAGGGGGACCUUCGGGCCUCUUGCCAUCAGAUGUGCCCAGAUGGGAUUAGCUUGUUGGUGAGGUAACGGCUCACCAAGGCGACGAUCCCUAGCUGGUCUGAGAGGAUGACCAGCCACACUGGAACUGAGACACGGUCCAGACUCCUACGGGAGGCAGCAGUGGGGAAUAUUGCACAAUGGGCGCAAGCCUGAUGCAGCCAUGCCGCGUGUAUGAAGAAGGCCUUCGGGUUGUAAAGUACUU
rnacentral:rRNA from 1 species